AGGACCCGGAUGAGAGCGCACGCUUCGGGGUCUCCGGGAAGUCGCGGCGCCUUCGGAUGUGGCGGAUGCGGCCGUGAGCCGGCGGGGGAGUUCCUCCAGAUCCAGCUGUGCCCUCGCCUGACGUUUGAACGACCACCUGCUCACCUCCUCCCUUUUGCGCGUUGAUUCUUCAGACUUCAAAGGGCCCACCUGUGCUGCUGCUGCCUCCACUGUACUCAGACCCAGGUAGCACAGGAUUGUCCAUCCUCCAGCAGCUCAGUGCAACGGUGUGAACUCCGCCUGUUUCAGAGCCUCCACACCAUGGCUGGAGUGCAAUGGCGCAAUCUCAGCUCACCACAACCUCCGCCUCCCAGGUUCAAGCAAUUCUCCUGCCUCAGCCUCCCGAGUAGCUGGAAUUACGGACCUCCAAGAAGCUGGUGAACUCGGUGGCUGGCUGUGCUGAUGACGCUCUUGCUGGCCUGGUGGCCUGCAACCCCAACCUGCAGCUCUUGCAGGGCCACCGCGUGGCCCUCCGUUCUGACCUGGACAGCCUCAAGGGCCGGGUGGCACUG
rnacentral:sRNA from 1 species